AUGAUCAUUAUACACGUGUGUGUAUUAUUUUUUUUUUUUUUGGUGUAGCACUGUAAAGAACUUUCCAGGAGGUUUUGCGGAUGUGUAUGUGACAUGUAACGCUGGUCCUAUAAUAAGACAUUCCACAUUUUAUUAUUUUUUUAAAUCAUUGCUUUACUUAGUUUUAUAAUUCCAAGCACUAACUGAAGAUUAUUUUCAAUGUCAUGCAUAUAAACUCUGCUGCCCUUUAACACGCUUUAAAAAAAAUGUAGUUUUCUACUCGUUUUCUGUCUCAAAUCUGGCUUAGACUGUGACUCGAAGAGUAAACGGUCUGUAAGUAACGAGGAUUUGAAAAGGAUAUGAAAGUUGACAGUCGCCUGGUAUACCGCAGAGGUUAAUAGUACAUUAGUUGGCAGUUAUAUUUAUAUUUAUUUUCAGUAUAAACCUACCAAUUAAGCCACUUGACAUGUCUACACUUACAGAGCAGAUAUUAUUUGGAUGGUGCAUCAUUUGCAGCAGUAACAUCUGACCCUGAGCUUCUAGGUGCACCGUUUCAGGAUGCAGUGCGUGUUAAUUGUCUUUUAUACCACAGCGCUGUUGAAAUCUCAAAUCUGAUUCGCCGGAACGCGUCGAUUGAUUUGCUUUAUACCACAGCGCGGUUGCAUUCUCGCAUCUGAUCGGUCAGACGGUGUGCAUUAUUUUUGUAUAUCAGCAGCUCGGACAGUAGUUCCGUCUGUAACACGAACAAUAGGUUGAUAUCAAUGCGCUUGUCCUAAUACGUUUCCAUAGUAACAGCGCGCACAUAAUCUAAGACUAAUAAUAAGUUUGAAGAAAAAAAAAACAUGUUUAAUAAAAUAAAAUGCAUAAUCAUUGAUGUGGUGAUGUCUUUGUGUUAGGAAACAUUUAUUGAACAUGCCGUUGCGCAUUGUGCCACAUCACGUGUGUUACCCCGUACACAGGUUGUUACUGCAGCUGGAACCGCUCACACACAUGGACUUGUACAGCGGACGCGCCACAUAAUCUAAAUAAUAAUCGGACUAAAAAAACGUGUUUGUUAUUUAACAAAGAAAAACAUCAACGUUUUCUGUAUGGAGACAUUUACGGAAGGAGUCUCCAGUGUAAGUGAGGCUUCAGGACAGAGGAGUUCAGUUCUGUAACAUAAACUGUGUUUUUUUUAUUAUUAUUAUUAUCUUAUAAACUUCAAAAGUGAGGGGAAAAAGGUAGGUUGGUGAGGGAGAAUCAGGUAUCAGGGGAAUAAAACACGUCAGAUUAUUAAAAACUAAAGUACUUUACUGUAAUAUACAGACAGUGUAAAAAAAAAUAAAAAUUGCACCUACAUGUCCAAGUCUCAAGGAUGAACACUUGUAAUGGAAAUAAGGCAUACUGUAAAAGGGUGUGGUCUUCAGUUAAUCUAUAAACAAAUGAAGGCCGUAGCGUGACCCAGGUCAGUGGGGUGAUCAGUGAGUGUAAUAGAGUAGAACAGCUGCAGUGGGACGACUGACCUGUAGCUUCAGUCAUCGCUAAUCAAAUCCGUUCCAUUACGACCUCCAUGGCACCAUGAACACGGUCUAAUCAGCAGCCCAGCUGCCUCUUAUGGAGUUAGCACAGAAGAAGAGGCUUCUCUCAGGCCAAAUGACAGAUAUUGCUCUACAUUGCGCCUGAGAAAUGGAUUUAGUUUUCAGACACUGCAGUUUUCCAGCCAUAAUUCCAUAAUCUGUGCUGUGUGUAAGAUUUCUACAUGAAAGCUUCAAAGAUUUUUAUAUAGGAGCUUUGUGAAUUAGUUAAAUAAAAAUAAAACUGUCAAAAUAGCUAAUGGAGCCAUAAACACAUCAGACAGCCAAGGUGCAUUUGCACGUUUGUUAAGUAAGGAAUGAAACACUUGGGAACAUAGGAAAAUCAAUCAGUGACCCAAGAGUUGUGUUAUAUUCCUCUUACGGUAUAACACAGCAUCCAGUCCAUACAGGAUUUAGCAGUUGUUCAAAAAUGCUUGAUUUUGCUUUGGCUUUUUUCAAAAUUUGCACUGUUUUUUUGUGGGUAUUUUUUUUUUUUUGCAGAAAACUGCUCGUUUGAACGAAAUAGUUUCACACGGUCUUUCGCAAGUGAUGUUUGUUGGUAAACGAGACCUUUUAGCUGUACUCGUGUUUGACGGAAUCGAAGAGGGCUUUUGGCUGAGUGCCAAGUGUGCUGCGAUGAUGUCACAUGGCGCGUCUUGGCGAAAAUCUGGGGCAGUUUUGUCAAAUUGAAAGCUCCUCCGAAUACCGCCGCAUUUUCCUUGAUGUUUCGUUCAUUUCUGCGAUCAGUCGUUCCCUCACCAGACUCUUAUUCUUUCUCUAGAUGUUACACAGUAAACCUGGCAUGUCACAGAGAAACUAUAAGGCACACUGUCCUCUUACUGACUGUUACAAAGUGCUAACACUGGAGACUCCUUCCACAAAUGUUAAAAACAUGUCUCCUUACAUAAAGCAAGCUAAAUAACAGUUAAAUAGCUAAAUAAAGUAGUUAAAUAACAAAACUACUGUCAGAUCUGCCGUUAUAGAAAAUGACCUCCUUCUAAGCAGUCAGUUUUGAGAAUUCAACAUUGCAUUGUUCGAUAAAUUCUGAGCUCAGGUGAAUAAAAUGUAUAUAAUGCUUGUUCCAGGCUCAAAGAUUGAAGUGAUGUUCAAUGUUAUAAUGUUCAAUUUGGGCUAAGAGCAAUGUACGGCCUGCCCUUGUUAUAAAUUUACAUUAUUAAAAGUGGAUUCGUGACCAGGACUCAAACGUGAAAACAUACCAUGGAUAUUUAUUGAUUUAUUUAUUCUUUUCAUUACUAAAGCCUACGGAAGCUCUCUUUGGAAGGCUUGAAUUAUAAUUAAGGCACAACUAAGUUCACUCAGGAGCAGAAAAGAGAGCAGCCACUGGGGAAAGUAUGGGAGAAGGAAAAGGUUUCCCUCACAGCUGUCCAGCGCUAACGAGCCUGUCUAUCUCAAAUCUGUACAUUCCCCUGAGGACACCAGGCCUCCAGUCUACAAGCCUGGAAACCCCUGCAUUCAUCACUUACAACCAAAAUGGCACAUAUGUAAGGAAUAAAACAUUUCGGGGAAUGCUGUUAUAGGAAAAUAAUGAACAACCAGGGUUCUGUGAUGCGGCCCAGCACGAGCACAGUUACAGAUACCAUCCGGAUGCUGAUUAUCGUUCAAUAACAGCAUGUCCCGAAGUGUUUUAUUUGUCUCAUACCACAGGAAUUUGCCAAACUUAUAUAGAAAAUAAUGACGGUAUAUAUUUUAAAUCACAGGCUUUAAAGCCAGAGAUGUUAAAUGAAUUAAACUCUAAAGAAAAUAGCA
ensembl:lncRNA